AACGGCCAUACCAUGCUGAAUAUACCGGUUCUCAUUAGAUAACCGAAGUCAAGCAUCAUUGGGCGUGGUCAGUACUUGGGUGGGUGACCACCUGGGAACACCGCGUGCCGUU
rnacentral:rRNA from 1 species